UUUGGGUCCCCUCGCGGCGAAGUCGUGCGAACCCCGUCAGGCCCGGAAGGGAGCAGCGGUAGCACUUUAAUUCGUGCGCAGAGGUGUGGCUCAUAGUG
rnacentral:SRP_RNA from 1 species